GAGUUUGACUGAAAACAAAACAAACCCCCAUAAAGGCUUCACUUUCUCCCGUACUUGUUGGUUCUUCCCAUCACUCCUGCCGAUUACCCUUACUAGAUUUACUGUUGUUCUUGCCAGCGUUGUCGUCCCAAAAUCCGGCUACCGUCAAUCCUUCAAAAGACAUCUUUAUCAUUGUCAUAUUAUCGGUGUCCAAAGUGCAACAACGCUGUCGAUUUUGCCCUCCCCUGUCGUCAUCUUCUCCGACUGUCGUCAUUGGAUUGUAGACUAGAAUUACUAGCAGUUGCGAGAGCGUUUCUUGAAGGGAUAAGAGGAAAGAAUUAUGGUGUUUAUCACAGCUGUAGAAGUAUAGAUCACUUUUUCGAAGAAUGCCACCAAAAACUACGUUGUCGAUGGUGUGUAGAAGGAAUCCAAAAAUGCUUUGAGGUUCAAAAGGAGGGCAAUAACAAUGGUCGACUAUUCAAAACCUACAGUAAUGAUUGCAGAUUUUUUAACUGGGUAAAAGAAGAAGGAAACGGCGAGUCAAGUACCAUUAAGGACACAAUAAAUCCUACUGUGAACGAGGAAGUGAACGAGUUGCAAAAUAUGUUCGAAAGUCUAGCUCGAAUAGCCGAGAACCGAAACGUCGAGGUUUCAUUUAAUGUGACACUUCGCAAAGGAAAAGAGCCCUCGGAAGAUAAUGGAAAACGAAAGGGGUCGGCAUAAUGUGGUGUUAUACUCGAUGUUGCAGUCUUCUCUUUAGUGUGUCUUUAGUUUGUUGGGCUAAUUGCUAGCUUCUUAAUUGAUGUAGAAUGGUGUAAUCUGCUUUAGUUUUGUAAUCAUUAGAUUUGCAACUAUUUUAGUUUUGAAUGAGGAAGACUUUAUGGUUCAUAC